UCUGCAGUCAAUCCCAUCGUCAAAUUCCCACCCUUCACCUUCUCCUUCUCCUUCUUGCCUAUCAACAAGCCCCGGAGCCAUUUGCUUGCCUUUCCCAUAACUCCUCCAAGGCUAGCUGCAGGUAAAGCAGCUCAUGAAGGAAGUGGAAUUGUUCUGUGGAAAGCAUGGAACAGCAGAAGGAACCAAUAGCUUAUCCCUGUUGAGCAACUGUUGGUUUUCACUAAUUAAUGCCAGCCUGGUUUCUGUAUUUAAGUGAGGGAUCAGAUCAGUUAUUAGGGGAAGAUCAAUUAUGCUAAGGGAGCAUUAAUUUUAAAGUCGUAUAAGUGGGCCAAGGGCCAUGUGGCUGAAAGUAGCAUUGAACGUGGAUUUAUCUGUGAGAAAUAGUCCAAUGCCUGCGAGCAAAAUUAGUUGGCUCCAUCUUUUUGCGUAGCAGAGGACCAUCUAUUCUUACCAGCAGAACCAGCUUUUUCUCUAUCUUUGAUCUGCUGCCGACGUCCUGAUUAUCCAAGUAGGUGAUCAAAAAAAAAAAAUUUCUUGUUUCUUAGUGUUUUUUUAUCUGCGUAUCACUUUACUAUUUUGUUCUUAUAAAGAUUUCGGCUUCGGUUGAGGGCAGCUUUCUUAAUGCUUCUUAAAAUAACUUUUUGAUA